CUCUCAAAAGCCCUUCUGGUCGCAAAUACGAUGUAAUCAUCCACUGUGCACACAACAUUCCUUGGUCUACCUUUUCGGCUAAUUUGACUCCAAAAGGAAAGGUAGUAAAUACCACUCCUGGUUUCGGUACUUUGAUGAGUGUUGCUGCGAAAAAGAUUUCAUGCUCAAAGAAGCAACUCAUACCCUUGUUUACCUCACCUAAGAAAGAGAACCUCGAUUUUCUUGUUAAGUUGGUGAGAGAUGGAAAGCUUAAGCCAAUAAUCGAUUCGAAGCAUCCUCUAAGUAAGGCCGAAGAUGCUUGGGCUAAGAGCAUUGAUGGCCAUGCCACUGGCAAGAUUCUUGUGGAGCCCUAGUUUAUGAAGAUUACUUGAUGCAUACAUUAAAUUUAUACGUUUUCUGUGAGUGGGGUUGCUUAUGAGUUAUUUGUAUAUUAACAAGUACUCUGUAUUUUGAAGAAUACAAAUGUUGGUGUGUGAGUUCUUUAUUUGUUGGCAAUUUCAAGUGUGCUAACUGUAAUGUUAUUCAAAACUGUGUUUUGUUAUAAAAUUUAAAAUUCAAAAUUCAAAAUUUUGUUUAAUGCCAUGGAAAAUUAGAUUUUAUUUUUGAAAUAUUGAAGUAACCAUUUCAUUUCACGAACACAAUUUGCUCACUAUUUCAUUCGCAAAUGGACCGUCGGUGAAUAUUGAAGGGAGUGAACAAUUACUCACCAUUUCAUUUCUCGAACACAAAUUGCACUACAUUUUCUUUCAAAAUUUCUCUCAAAUCUGUAAAUAAAUUUUUAAGCUUUUGAUUCUUAUCCAUCAAUCUUGAAAUGUUUAUUUCUAGCAAAAAUUUCUAUGUUUUUAAGAUCAAAACACGAUUUUCCAUUUUUUUUCCAAGGGAAAUCGAUUUCUUGAUUGUUCUUGACUUUGAUUUCUGAAAAAUCCAACUAGGCAAUGAUGAUUUAACUUAAUUUAAUGAUUUUCUAUCUUUGAAACUUAAUUUCUAAUGAUUUUCUCAUUUUUAAAGCUAUGCUCAUGUUGAUUGGAUUAGAGAGAGUCGAGAUUUCUUUUUGUUUUCAGGUUAGAUUUACAUUGCUAAUGAGUUUAUAAUUUUAUUAGGAUGUUAGAAAUUAGACUUAAUUGGAGAUUGAACAUAGUUCUUAGAAAUUGUUUUUAACGAGUGCUUAAGAGAAAGUGAAGAGGAAUUGAGUUUUCAACAGAGAAUUCAAUGUUUUUAGGUUAGCUUUAAGUUCUUAAGUAUGAAUGUAAGGUUAGAUUUGAGUUACGGUAAGUUUCAAUUUGAAUUCUUGAAAGUGGGCAUUGAAGUGAGAAAGUGUACUGCUAAAUCAUAUUGCAUGAUUUUGUUGAAUUUUAAAGGUUUUGAUUGUUAUGAUUUGUUGUUCUAACUUGGUUUAUUGUGUUGAUAUUGGCUUUGAAGUAAAAGAUGUUGGUGAGAGAUUAAAGACAAAAGGAAGGAAAAUAUCAUCGAAGCUCGAGUGGUUUCAGUUUGUGCAAUUGGAUCUUCAGAUUUAUCUUUGUUAGAAUUGAGUAAGCCGAAUCUGAAAAUAAAAUACAGUGGUAAAAUAAAUAAAAGUGAAAUCCAUAUAGAACUACACUUCUUUUAUUUUAUUUUAGAAUAAUGUUUUUUAACCUUAUUACACUUCAUCUAUUUGAUAUUGAUUAGAAUAAGGUGGUUCAACUUUAUUACACCUCUUCUAUUAAAAUAUGGUUUUACAAGCUUAUAAAUAGACAGUCUACUCCUCUUGUAAUUAUUCAAAUUCGACAUAGUGAAUUAUCUUCUCUUCUACCCUUGGCUUUUUCUCGAAAAAGUUUCCACGUAAAAAUCUGUGUGUUUCUCUAUUUUUCGUUCUUUUUUUUUUGUGAUACAUUAUCAUUAUCGACGUUCUAUUUUUUUCACAAUCUUAUGUUAUUGAGUUGAUAAAAUAUGAUUUUUACCGAGAUAAUUUUGAUUUAAUGCCAUGAUUACAAGUCAAAUUGAAAGUAGGCACGAAAUGCCUAUGGUUGAGUGUCAACUAUUAUCUUGAAAGGGCCUUACCCUAUUACCCUUAUCUUGUUACUUAUGGGUGGGAGAUGAUCAGGUUCAGAUUCCACCUUUCCUCUAAUUACAAUACACUCAAAUUUCAUUGCAUCUAAUUAAAUACAAACCCUUUCAAUUUUUCUUUCAAAUUUACUCCCAAAUUUUUCAACACAUUUCACUUCCAAAAUUUACUAUUUUUUUUAAUCAUGCAAGUAUCUGUUUUUUUUUUCAUUGUUUGUAACAUGUUGAAUUUUUUCAUUAAUAUAACUUCUGUGGGAUGUUCUGUGUGCCUUUGUUAUGGGUUUUAAUCGACGGCACAUGACAUUUCAAGUUUAAUAUUUGUUGAUGUGAUGGAAAUGAUGGUGCAAAGACAAUGUCCUAUUAGUACUUCGAUUUUACCGACUUUUUUAGAGGAAAAAUAAUAUUUGAAUAAAAACUAAUGAAUAAUUUUUGAUGUAGAGCAUUAAUCACAAAACAAAAUCCAAUUAUCCAUAGGAGCAUCUACAAUUCGAAUUACAUUAAAAUUAAAAUUAAAAAAGCAACACGCACACCAAGAUUUGUAUUGUUCAAAAUACAGAGUACUUGUGAAUAUACGAAUGACUCAUAAGCAACCCCACUCAUUGAAAAAGUAUAAAAUUACUGUAUGCAUCAAGUAAUCUUCAUAAACUAAGGCUCCACAAGAAUCUUGCCCGUAGCAUGGCCUUCAAUGCUCUUGGCCCAAGCAUUUUCUGCCUUACUUAGAGGAUGCUUUGAAUCGAUUAUUGGCCUAAGCUUUCCUGCUUGCACCAACUUAACAAGAAAAUCGAGGUUCUCUUUCUUGGGUGAGGUGAACAAGGGUAUGAGUUGCUUCUUCGAGCAUUUAAUCUUUUUCGCAGCAACACUCAUCAAAGUACCGAAACCAGGGGUGGUAUCUACUACCUUUCCUUUGGGAGUCAAGUUAGCCGAAAAGGUAGACCAGGGAAUGUUUUGUGCGCAGUGGAUGAUUACAUCGUAUUUGCGACCAGAAGGGCUUUUGAGAGCCACCCCAUCAGGAGUUUUGUAGUCAAGAACCUCAUCAGCCCCCAAGCUCCUGACUAAAUCCAUAUUACGAGCCCCACAAGUGGCUGUAAUGUGUGCAUUUGCAAGCUUUAGGAGUUGAACUGCAUAUUGACCUACACCACCUGAAGCAGCGGUAACCAGAACAUUUACUUGUGGGCCGGUUCCAUCAAGUUUGAGACCAGCAAGCUGGGUGAGUGACUGGUGAGCUGCAAGGCCAGCAAUUGGCAAAGCUGCAGCUUCAGGGGCUGAUACCUCUGGAGGCCUUGGAACUGUGGAACCUUCCUUAGCCACAGCAUAUUCAGCUAGUGCACCUCCAUUCUAUGAUUGCAAAAUAGAUUCAUAUAAUAAGAGAUUGGCACAACAAAGGACAUAAAUGAUGCUAGAUAACAUAUAAAACAAGGACAUGAAUGAUAACGGAGAAAAAGAAUCUAUGGCUUGGUUGUUGUAAAACUUGAACCAACGAACUUGUCGAGUGUAACAUCAAACAUACAUAUGUUUCCCACUUGCAAGUAUGCAACAAACCCAAGAAUAAGAAUGAGUACUUACACCAAGUACGGCAACAACUUUCUCCCCGACUUUGAAACUCUGGACACCUGAUCCAACUUGUACGAUUUCUCCUGCUACAUCGGUACCUGCUCCACCAAAUGUUCUUUAGCUAAUGAUUGAAAACAAGCAUUCAAACUAGUACAAGAAAGAAAAGUUUUGAUGCUUUAAAUCCAUUAAAGCAUUGAAAACUAAUGCAAAAUAAACCAUUGGGCUGAACCAUCUAGAGAAAAGUAACAGUACCAGGAAUGUGGGGGAAUUUGCGAGGUAAAAAUGGGCGCGCUACCCCCUCCUGUAUUUUCCAGUCGAUUGGGUUAAUACUAGCUGCCUCUACUUUGAUCAGAACUUCAUCCUUUUUUGGACUGGGAAUCGGAACUUCAGCAUGCUGCAACACCCAUAAAUUUCACAUUCGUUAUAAGAUUACGUCACUGGCCAUUUUUUUUCAAGAUUAUUAAAAAACAGAAGACAAAUGUUUGGAAAUGAUUUUGCAGAAAGAAAAGAGAGAGAGAGAGAGAGAGUUGACUUAGCUGUCAAAAUCGUUAAAUUCCCAAUAAUUUGGCCUCAAUGUUAAAUCUACGGUACUAAUAUAAUUAACCAAUCCUAAUAAACUUGAGAAUUUAAUUAAAACUCCAUCUUAUGCAUGGAAAAGAAGUACACAUUUCUUUUGAUCCUUACUUUUAAACUCGAAACAAAGCAAGAAUAUUACCUUGAGAUCAGCAGCUCCUCCGUUAUAUUUACUGUAUUGAACAGCACGCAUCAGAUUCUUGGCCAUUUUCUUUCUUUUUCUAAGAGACUAAAAACCGAAAGCUCCUUUUUAAGUUUGUGGGAAGGCAAAAAAAACUCAAGAUUAGAAUGUGAGACAGAGAAGGAGGGAAGGAUUGGACGGAAUAUUUUGGCGUCAGAUACUUUGAAUUUAUAGUAAAGUAAUGCAGACAUGGAAUGGUUCCUUCCGAUCAAAGCGAGAUCAUUGAAUGGGUAUAGGUGUGAAUGUGAUGUUCUAGAAGCAUUUGACUGUUUUUAUUUUUCUUUUGAGGUCAAAUUCAUAAAUUUUUUUAUUCAAUUGAUUGGAGAAUGUGUAUACUGUAUGGAAGUUUCGAUAAUAUGUUUUGUUGAAUGGAAAUGCUUUUUCAUUUUGCUUAAACAUUUAACACAAUUCGAAAAUUCAUUCGAAAAUUAGGAUAAAAAUAUGAAAUCUUAAAACAAUUAAUUGCUUCUUAUAUUUUAUUUUGCCUAGUGAUGGUAUCCCUCCCACCAACCAUUUCUUCCUCUUUUUUCUUUUCGUUCAUUCCACGUAUCUUCUCUCUUUUCAGUUUACAAAUUUGUUUUGUGGGUAUAUUUUUCAUUGAAUGAAUUAAUGAAUUUACCCCGUAUCAAUUUUUAUCUAAAAAAGCACUGAACCAACUCAAAGAAAAGCCAUUUACCAAAAAGAAAACAAGUUGGAAGUUGCCAAUUGAUAUAAUUAAAAAGGAAUAGCCGGCAGAGAUGGAACCCAAUUUAAACACGUGAUAUAGUAUCGAAACUUUGACAUUAAAAAAAUUCAACUGCUUCUAGAGCAUCAGAUUCGGUUUUGCAAUUCACACCCACACACGCAUUACAAUCGGGAACACCCAUUCCAUGUCUGGAUUGCAUUACUAUAAAUUCAAACUAUCAAACGCCAACAUACAUCAUCCCACAAUCCUAUCCUAUCCAAUCCUUCCCUCCUUCACUUUCUCUGAUCUUCUUUCUUUGCCUUCGCUCGCUUUUCAUUUUUUUUCUUAGGAAAAACAAAAAAGAAAUGGCUAAUAAUUUGAUGCGUGCCGUUCAAUACAGUAAAUAUGGCGGAGGAGCCGAUGAUUUGAAGGUGAUCCACUUGCUUCUCUCUUCUUCUUUUUUUGACCAAAUACCUUUGAGUUUGUCUCCAUUUGAUAUAAGAGUUUAGACUGAGAGCUUGACAGCAGUGUCGAUAUAUAUAUUUUUGAUGAACAUGAAAAAAGAUAUUGUUGGUCACCUGAUUUCAUAACGAGUGUGAAUUUUGUGGGUGUUGCAGCAUGUUGAAGUUCUGAUUCCCAGCCCAAAAAAGGAUGAAGUUCUGAUCAAAUUAGAGGCAGCUAGUAUUAACCCAAUCGACUGGAAAAUACAGGAAGGGGUAGCCCGCCCAUUUUUACCUCGCAAAUUCCCCCACAUUCCUGGUACUUUUUUCUUUUCUCAUGCCUGUUUCAGUCGCAUGCAUUGCAUUCUGAGCUUCACUUGUUUAGUAUCCUCUGGAUGGUUCAGCCCAAUAAUCUGAUUUGCAUCAGUUUUCAUUGGUGGAUUUAAAGCAUCCAAACUUUUCUUCUUUCUUGUGUUCAAUCAUUGGCUAAACAACAUUUGGUGGAGCAGGCACCGAUGUAGCAGGAGAAAUCGUACAAGUUGGAUCAGGAGUCCAAAGUUUCAAAGUUGGGGAUAAAGUUGUUGCCGUACUUGGUGUAAGUACUCAUUCUUUUCUUGGGUUUGUUGCAUACUUGUAGGAACAUAUCUAUGUUUGAUGUUACUCUGGACAAUUGGUUCAAGCUAUACAACAACCAGGCUAUAGAUUUUUCCCCUUAUUCAUGUCCUUGUUUUUAUGUCUUUUGUCAUGCCAAUGUCUUAUUACAUAAUCUAUUUUGCAAUCACAGAAUGGAGGUGCACUAGCUGAAUAUGCUGUGGCUAAGGAAGGUUCCACAGUUCCAAGGCCUCCAGAGGUAUCAGCCCCUGAAGCUGCAGCUUUGCCAAUUGCUGGCCUCGCAGCUCACCAGUCUCUCACCCAGCUUGCUGGGCUCAAACUCGAUGGAACCGGUCCGCAAGUAAAUGUCCUUGUUACCGCUGCUUCAGGUGGUGUAGGUCAAUAUGCGGUUCAACUCGCAAAGCUUGCAAAUGCACAUGUGACAGCCACAUGUGGGGCUCGUAAUAUGGAUUUAGUCAGGAGCUUGGGGGCUGAUGAGGUUCUUGACUACAAAACUCCUGAUGGGGUGGCUCUCAGGAGCCCUUCUGGUCGCAAAUACGAUGUAAUCAUUCAUUGCGCACACAACAUUCCUUGGUCUACCUUUGAGGCUAACUUGACUUCAAAAGGAAAGGUAGUAAAUACCACUCCUGGUAUCUGUACUGUGAUGAGUGCUGCUGCGAAAACGAUUAAAUGCUCGAAGAAGCAACUCAUACCCUUGUUUACCUCACCUAAGAAAGAGAACCUUGAUUUUCUUGUUAAUUUGGUGAAAGCAAGAAAGCUUAAGCCAAUAAUCGAUUCAAAGCAUCCUCUAAGUAAGGCUGAAGUGGCUUGGGCCAAGAGCAUUGAUGGCCAUGCCACUGGCAAGAUUCUUGUGGAGCCCUAGUUUAGUUGAUGCAUACACUAAUUUUAUAAUUUUUCAGUGAGUUCGGUUGCUUAUGAGCCAUCUGUAUAUGUUGGUAUGUGAGGAGUUUUUUUUCAACUAUGUUGUGUGUGAUGUAAUGUUAUUGAGCAUUGUGUCUUGUUAUGAAAUUUAUUUAUUGAUUUUUUGUUUUAUGUAAUUUGAAUUAAAGAUGAUACUAUGGAUAAUUAGACACUUUGUUUAUGUAGUAAUGCUUAAAUAAUUAUACCAAUAGCGGCAAUUUCAUACAAUUCCUUCUCUAAAUAUUAUUAUUAGUGCAAAGUAAAAUUUUAUGAGCAGAGUUAAGACAAUAACACUUAUAAUUUUAUUUAUUUUUAAAUAUAAUUCAAGUCACACUUAUCAUCUAAAACUUAAAUUGUUGAUUUUUUUUCUUUCCAUUAGCAAUAUAUAUAUGAUAAUAAUCUAUAUAUUAAUUCUCAAAAUGUUUUUAUUUAUUUUUAAUAUUAAAUUAUCUUAUAGCUCACAUAUUUUAAGGUUUAAAUGGAUAAUUUAGUCUACCCUUAACACUUUUUUGAUUGAUAUGGUCAAGUGUAUUUUUGUCUAAAAGUUUUUAAUUAAAUUUGUUGAAGUAAUUAUGUGAGCAGUGACAUAUGUAUGCAGUGCUAUAAGCACCAAGACAGACAAUAUAUCUUUCAUUUUUUGUGUUAGCAAUUUUUUGGAGCAAAAUCAUUGGGUUAUAAGUCUUGCUAAUAUUGUGGAAGUAUGAUAGUCAAUUGAUGAGGAACGAUCCUUUUGAAGCAACAUUACUUGAUGAAUGGAUUGGAUCGAGUCAAGCAAUCGAAUUCCUUAAAAUAAGAAGUUUGGAUUAGUACUGAAUUGAAGACUUAUCUCCAAUGAUUCUACAUUAUCUUGGACUUUAUUAAUAUAUUGUGUAUGCUAUUUUAGUUGUAGUCUUUUAAGGGAAUUGAAUGUAAUUGAACUAGUCUAUUAGUAAGUAUUGAAGUUUUAUAUAUUUGAAGAGACUUACCAAAAUUCAAUUUUUGGGCACGACAAUAAUUUGUAUUCUCGAAUGAUAGCGGUAGGAUUUGCAAUCAUUGUGGAAAUUUCAUUUUCCUUACGAUUAAUAUCUUACUCACAAGGGGCAGAAGUCGCAAAAUCUCAUAAUUUACAAUCAAUUCAUUCAAUAUUUCCUUUUUUAGAUGACAAGUUCUCACACUUAAAUUAUGUGUUAGAGACACUAAUACCUCAUCUCAUCCAUCUAGAAAUCUUAGUUCAAACCCUUCGCUAUUGCGUAAAAGAUGCUUCUUCUUUGCAUUUAUUAUGGUUCUCUCUCUACGAGUAUUGUAAUUUGAAGAGUUUUAUUACUCCAAAGAAAUCUAUUUCAAUUUUGACUCCAAGAUCAUUCUUGUUCCUAUAUAAUUCUCAUACAUAUGAAUACGAAUCCAUUUCCUUUUUCUCCGUAAUCAAUCUUCUUAUUUACGAUCAACAUCUUCUAGAGUCUUUCCAAAGCAUACGGCUUUCUGGAUGUAGAUGAUGAUAUCUAUACAAAUGGAUUCAUAUAAUUCUUAUAUAUAUUGUACAAUGAAGUACCACAUGAGUGGAUAUAUAGGAUCCAAAUCUGUCGAACCACUCAUGUUAUGAUCUUCUACAUCCUAGGUCUUCUCGUUCUGUCAUCUAGCUUAUGUUCUUCAUGUAGGUAUAGGUUUGAUAUUGAAAGUAUUUAGCACUUAUUUCUUCAUUAAGGAACAUUAAUAGUGUAAACAAGUUUAUUGUUUGGUUUAUAACCUCUUGAAAACUUAGAAGUGAGUGAUUUAGAUUUUUAGGUACAAAAGUGAAGUUGUUAUAUUGAGUGUGAUAGGAUUUAAAUCACUUACUAUAUUGGGAUUAAGAAUAAUGGGUUAUCUUGCUUAUGUAGGCUCCACAGAUGUAAGAAAAUAAAAUUUCGUAAAUAAUUCAUUUGUGUUUUUCAUUGUUCUUGUCCUAGUGCCCUUUUUAGUGAGCACUACAACUUGUACUUUCAUUUGGAGAGAUUGUUUUCUUUGAUGGUAGUUUUUAACAGAAUCUAAUUUGCAUUAUUAGGGCAUGUUGAAAAGACCUUACACUAUCGAGGUCCGAAUUCAUUUUUUCAAGAAUCUCGUACAAUCAUUUGUUGAUGAUGAUGUGAUAUUUGAUGAAAUCAAAAUCAAAUUAUUUUGUUCCAGCUUUCUCCUAACACUUUUUAAUACAUUCUUUUUUAGUUUCCUUUUCAAAUGUACAAUAUUUUUAGGUUGUGUUUGGAAAGUCGUCUAAUAAUUGGAUUUGAAUGUAAUUGUUUGUACUUACAUAAAAGUGGCAUGUUUGGGUAACCAUUAUAGUUGGUGGGUCCCAUCGAAUUGGUGUAAUUGGAGAACCUCAAUUACAUUUUCUAAUUUUUCCAUGGGGAAGAGUGAGAAUUAAAGUAAUUACGUAGGUAAUUACACUCAAAUUUGAUUUUAAAUUUUAUUUUUAUAUAAGUUAUAAAAAUUAUAUUAUAAGCAUGAACGCAUAUGAGUGUUUGGGAUGAUUAUAGCCUAAAUUUUCUUAUAUUAUAAAUUUUAAAAAUUAUAUUAUAAAAAUAAUUUGUGUAUUUUAUAAAGUUAUAACAAAAAUUAAAUUAUUUAAAUCUUAAAAAAUUCUAAAGUUGUGUCCAAAAAGUUUAUUAUAAAAAAUAAUUUACAUGUUAUAAAAGUGUUAUAAUAUAUUUAUUUAAAAAGGAAGCUAUGGCCAAGUAUGAACUUAACUUAUUUAUGUGUUCAUGUCAUAUAUUAUAAAAAAUAAUAUACUUAUUCAUAAAAAAAUGUUAAUAGUUUUUUUUUACCAUAACUUAUUUAUAAAAAAUAAAUUUAUAAAGUUAUGACAAAAAAUUAUCUUAUUUAUAAGAAGUGUUAUGAAAGUUUUGAACAAUUUAUAAGAUCUUUUAUAUAAAGGUUAUUUAUAUUUUUUAUUUAAUUUACAUAUUAUAAAUAUGGAUAUAACAUAGCAUUAGCUUUUCUCCAAAUUAAGUUUAUAUAAGUUUUAUAAUUAAAGCUAUAAUUUAUUUAGAUUGUGAACUCAAUUAUUUAUAAGGUCGAUGCUAAUUAUACAAAUAGAAAAAUAUUUCUUGAACCAUAUUGUUGUUCGGAUCUAGUGCCCUCAGUGUAGUGGUUUCAUAUCUAUAUGUAUUUGUAAUUUUCAACCAAAUUGGUUUAAUAAAAAAUCCUUCAAUAUCAUUAAUAUCUUCGUAUAUUGUCAUCAACAGCUUAUUCACACAAAACAAAAUGAAAGCAAAUAUAGGCUCAUUGAUUAUCUAAUAUUUAACUAAUACUAAGCAAUAUUAUGUGACCAGAUUGUAUACGGAAAAACAAUUUAUAUUAGUGGAUAAUCUAAACACGUCAUUAUCCUAGUUAGAAUUGAGCAAAUCAAUUGAAAAACUAAUAUGUCGUCUAUCAAGUCCAAUUGGGGAGAUACUUUGCCUUGGGUAUCGAAACAUGACCACCCCUAACACUCAUAGCACUGUACUCUUUUUUUUUUUUUUGUCUUUUUCUAGCUCCUUGUUGAUAGUAAUUCCCUUUAUCUUGUUUUUAGGGGCAUUAGAAUUAAUUUCAAACUUUUUGAACCUCCUAACUUGUUUCUUGAAGUCCUUCUUGGAAUUAUGUGUUAGCAGGAUAAUUUGUUCUUAAAAAGCUCCAAUAGUAGUUACAUUUGAGGAAGUGGGCACAACCUUAGUGGCUUGAAAGACUAUAUUUUUAUCUCCCUUACUCCUACCUUGUUUUGCCUCAUCAAGAUUCAUUUCAAAAGUAUGUAAUGAGCUAAUAAGCUCAUCAAUAGCCAACCUCUACAAAUCCUUAGCCUCCUCAACAUUAGUAACUUUUAUAAAUAAAUAAAAAAAACUCUCAAGAAAAGACCUUAGAACCUUUCUAACCGGCUUUGUAUUAGAGUACUCCUUUUCUAAUACGAAUGCUUGAGUUGAAAGAUCACACAACUUAACAUAGAAUUCUCCAGUAGUUUUGGGUUCCUGCAUUCUAAGACUUUCAAACCUAGAUGUUAACAUUUGCAUCUUCAAUUAUUUGAAAGAUGUAGUACCUUCAUAAGCAAUCUUCAAUAUAUCCCAGGCUGACUUUUCUAAAACGCAUUUGGAAAUUCUUUUGAAUUCUUAAAGAUCGACUCUGCAUAAUAUAACAUAUAGAGCUUUAUUAUUAGCAUUGGCCAGUUUUUCUUCCUCAAUAGUCCACUAAACUUCAGGCUUAACUACUUUCUCAUUUUUAGUGUCAAUCUUUAGGGUUCCCAACCUGUCAACAGAACACGCCAUACCUUUUCAUCAAUAAACCUAAUGUAUACCUUCAUUUGUGCUUUCCAAUAAGCAUAAUUUCCAACUUCAAGCAUAGGAGAACAAGAUGUAGAAGAACCUUCCAUAAUUUGAAUCUAGAAAUUUUUAGGCUCUCCACUAGUUAUGUUAAAUGGCAGGCUCUAAUACCAAAUGUAAUUAUAAAACCAUUGCUAGUAAUUAAACUAAGUGCUUAGGAGUGACAUGGAAGUAAGCCCUUCUUUAGCACCAAAUCAGAAAACAGAAAAACAAAUUGAACACACAAUAAUUGUUCACGCAAUUUGAUUUCCCUACAUCUACGGAGCCUAGCUUAAUGAGAAAUAUCUACUCUCUUCAACGAUUACAACAAAUGAAUCUAAACUAUCACACACCCCGUGAUAAUUCCCCUCAUUUUUUAACAUUAAAGAUUAAUACUCUCACCACUUAGUUCACCCCUAUGAACUCAACAAGUAAAACCACAACACAAAUAAUUUUACUAACAAAUUGUACUCUAAGAAAAAAAUCCUUACUUGAACACAAUAAGUGUUUAAAAUCUCUCAAUAUAAUAACCUAUACAAGUCUCUCCCUUAAAUAGAUUUAUAUUCGAGACUUGCUAACAUAGAAGAUCUAAAUCAAUCCCAUUAAAACAAUAAUAACAUAAAUUGCUUACAAUACAGUAGUUGUAGAUAAUACAAAUGUGGACUCUUGGUAGCUAAUCACAUAAAGUUUCUAUCCAAUCCAAAUGUCCAUGUUGCAAAGAAUUACUUGAGUGAUUUAAUUCGAUCCUAUCUUCAAUAUGAAUUUCCUAAAUAAUAUGACUUUCAUUAUUGGGCUAGAUGUCUUCCAAGUAUUCAGCGCAACCCAUCCAAAUCGUUCAAUAAACUGUCAAUACUCAAAUAUAAAAAUUGUCAUUAAAUAGCUCCAAUGCUGGGGAAGUGGGCACUUCCCUGACACUCAAUGGCCAUUUUCAUAUUUUUCAACAAACAAGAUUUCGAUUUAAACUAAGUAUAAUUCUCAACAACUCAUGGAAUCUAAGCUUCCAUUACACAAUUUUCUCAACCAUGGCAAUUUGAUUAAAACUUAAUAAUUGAAGAAAAAUCUAACACUAAGGUUGGAGAUGCUAAGUUAGGAUGGUCAAAAAUUCAUGAAAAUUUCAAAAACAAUCUUCCUUACUUAUGUGGAAUGAUGGACGGCAAUAGCUAGGUAAAAUAUAGGAAAUUUUCUUUCUUUUCUUGAAGCAUGAAUGACAACAUGAAGAAGAUGGUGAUGAUUUUUCAUUCACUUUCUUUCUAAGUUCCCAACUAUCAUAAUUAAGUAAUGGGCUUCAUUUAUUCAUCAAUGCAAGCUAGAAAUCUAUUAAAAUUUGAAGAGAAAAACCAUCCCUACCCAAGUAUUGGAGAUUCGACAAUGGAGCUAACCUUGAGAGAAAUUUAUUCCUUUCUUUCUUACAAACUUUGGUAAUAAGGACGAGAUCCAAUUUCUUUUUCCUACCAAAACACACACAUAUAUAUAUUAGAAAUUUAUCACACACGUGUACAUAUGGAAAUCACGUAUUUAGAAAACAGGUGUGUAUUUAAAAAUAACAUUCAAUAAAUAAUGAAAUCUAAGGUUUGAAACUAAUAAUGAUAACAACACAUAUGCAAUAUAUACAAAAUUAAAAUAAAAAAUAGUUUAACUUGUGAGUAAAAGGAAAUUGAAAUGUAUAAAUAAUUCAUUUAUAAAUCCAAUAUUAAACAUAGAUUCAAUCCCUAGAUAUAUUAAUUUUAGUUCUUUUAUUUAAAAAUUAUAUAAAAGUAUGAAAAGACAAAAAGGGCAUUAAAAUAAUAAUAGUAGUAAUUUAAUAAAAGGGUAUAUUAGUCAUUUUCUAAUCGAGUUGAUAUCUAGUUAACUCGUAACACCAACUCAAUCUAGGGAUUAUUUUAAUAGUGUAUAUAUAAUAUCAUAAUUAAAACUUAAUUGAUUGAAAUCAAUGGUUGAUAGGGGUGAGUGUUCAAUCAAAUCGAGUGAAAAAAAUCGAGUUAAUUAAAUUGAUGAGUCAUAUUUUUAUCAUCCUAACUCUAUUUGAAAUUUUUUUUUUCAAGUUGAGUGAAAUAAAAUUCAAGUUAAGUCAAAUCGAGUGAAAUUAUUCAUUAAAUUAAAAAAUUAAACAUGUCAAAUUGAAAUAUUAUUAUAAUAUAAUUAAUUUCAUGAUAAAGCUCGUAAAUUUGAAAACUUUUUUAAACCAAAAAAAGAAGAAGAAAAAAUACUAAUGAAAUGCCACAAUUUUGUUUUUAUACAUGUCAAAGUGAUGGAAAAAAAUAUCUUUUACAUAUCCACCCAAUUUAGCAACUUUUGGGGAAAUGAUACAAAAAAAUAUAUAUUUUUUCACACCAGAAAAAUUGUUUUCUGAUGAAUUGUAUACUGAUUGGAGUUUUAUCAAUGAACUAAAAAGAAGAAAUUUUACUAAGGAGUUUAUAAAAAGAGUCGAAUCUUUUGAUCUGAGCAUACUUGAAAAAAGGACUCGUUUCUCUAGUAAUGAAACUAAAAGAGAUAAACUUGAAUAAUUAAUUAACUUAUUUAAGUCUCAAAUUUAUUAUUUUAGAAAAUAUUUAAAUAUUUAAAUUUCUUUAUAUAUUCUUUAGAAUUUUUUUAAAUUUUUUAAAAAUAUAAAUUUUGAAAUUUUUAUAAAUAUUUUGAAUUUUAAAAAUUAUUUUGAAUUUUUUUUGUAAUUUUUGUUGAGAGAGACCAAUUUGCUCAUUUUCAAAAUUGAUAGGGAUCAAAGGGGUAUUAACACCAAUCAGUUAUUCAAAUUGUAAAAUUCAACUAUACUCGAACUCAAAACUUGAAUUACUUAUUCGAGUUGACUCGAAAAAAUUAAAUAACUCUAAUAACUUUAUUUGAUUAACUCAAGAUUAAAAUCUUUUAUUUUUAUUUUUCGAAUGGGUGAUGAAAAUCUAAUACAACAAACAGCGGUGGGAAUGGAUUAGAGGUGCUCAUGGGCCGGGCCGGGCCCAUAAAAAAUUUCGGCCUGUGUCCUAGGCCCAGGCCCGGCCCGGCCCGACCUAAAAUAUGGGACUGAAAUUUUAUCCAUGCCCGGCCUGGGGAAAAAUUCCUAAGCCCGGGCCCGGCCCAGCCCUUUUUUAAUAAACACCAAAAAAAUAAAAAAAUAUUUUAAAAAAGUAUUUUAAAAUAAAAAAGUAUUUUAAAAAUAUUUUUAAAAAUAAAAAUAUAUAUUUAUUAUAUUCGGGCCGGGCUAGGCCAAAAAAGUGGUGCUCGAGGCCCGGCCCUUUUUUUAAACAGGCCUCAUUUUUUUGCCCAAACCCAUAUUUCGGGCCUAUAUUUUUACCCAAACCCUCCCAUAUUUGAAUCUUUGGACAACCCGGUUUAAUAAAUUCGGAUCUCAAAAUCGACUUUUCCGACACUAAUAAAAGUCAGUUGUUACAUACUCUCCGCCUUAGCAGGAUUUUUAUUUAUUUUAAAUUAUAAUAAUCAAUAUAAUUAUAUUUUAUUAAUUAUAGAAGUUAAAUAUAAUAUUUUUAAAAUCAGAUCCCUAAAUUGAGUUGUAAGUAAAGGUGCAGAUCAAUCCCUUCAAAUAUAUUAUUUAACAUUAAAAUAAAAAGUAAUAAUAUAUUUUUUUGGUGCAAACAUAUUACUUAAAUUAAAUCGACUUGAAAGUUGACAAGUAAAUAAAUUACUUUAAAUAUGUCAUUUAAAACUAAAUGGCAAAAAAAAAAGUAAUAAAAUAAAGGGUAAACUAUAAAAUAGUUACUUUUGUUUGCCUAAGAUUAUAUUGUAGUCAGUUAUGUUUGAAAUAUUACGUUAUCAUUUUAUUACGAAGUUAUCACUCUACCAUUAAACUCUGUUACCUUCCUAACGGCAGUCCAAAUGGGUUUUAAAUGUCAACUUAGAUGUCCUACAUGACAGUCCAAAUUAAAACCUAUUUAAAACCCAAGUUGACAUUUAAAACCUAUUUGGACUGCCAUAUAGGACCGUCGUUAGGGAGGUAACAGAGCUUAAUAGUAGAGUGACCACUUUGUAACAAAACGAUAACAUAAGUGACCAAAGCGUAACAUUUCAAACAUAAGUGACUAAAAUGUAAUCUGAGGGACUAUUUUUAUAAUUUACCCUAAAAUAAAAUUUUCUUAACUGGGUCAAAGAUGUAUACCGAAUCAAUUUGUAAGUUGUCAUGCAUACCGUCAUCUUUGAAUACAAAUUCUGAAAAAUAAGAAACUAAAAAUAUAUCUUUUGAAUUUUAAAUUCUUUUAAAAUGUAACAUUUAAAAAAUUUAAAAUAUUUAAAUAAAAUAUUUUAUUAGAAUAAAAAAAAAAAGAGAAAAACUUGCUAUGUUGAAAUGUAUAGAUAUAGAUUUCUUUUAUAUAAAUUAAUUAUGAGGAUUUUUUUUGUCCCUCUAAUUUAAAAAAAAAAUUAUUUUAGCUCUUCAUUUAAUUUUUUAUCCUUUUUAGUUCUUAAAUUUAUAUUUUUUAUCGAAUUACCUCAAAAUAGAUGUAAAAAUUAACGUGUAUAUAUAUAUGUGAAUAACACGUAAGCAUUUAAUUAAAUUUUUAAACCUUUUAACAUUUUAAAAAUUCAAAAAAUUAUUUUUAAAAAUAAAAAAAUCAUCACAAUUAUUAAAAAAAUUUAAAUUUAAAAAAUUAAUUAAAUGUUGACAUAUCAACCACGUAUAUACCACAUCAGCAAAGUUAACAAAAGUUAACAUUUUUAUUCAUUUUGGGGUGAUUUGACAAAUAAUGCAAGUUCAAUGGCUAAAAAAAACUAAAAAUUAAAUAAAGGACUAAAAUGACCUUUUUGUAAAAUUAGAAGACAAAAAAAAGUCAUUAUACCUUUUUUUUUUAUGUGUAACAGUAUAGAUAUAGAUUUUGUAUAUGCAGGUGUUAGCCUCUAUUGAAGCGUAGGCAUGUGUGUGACAGGAGUCAAAUCUGGGAAGUAACAACGAAGAAGCAUCAAACACAACUCUUUUUUUCCUUAUGAUAGGUCGAAGUAAAAAAUGUAGCCAUGUGAUAGAUCAGGAAAAAUACAUAUAUCGACUGUUAAUGUAGUUAAAAUAUACCAUAUAAGUUUUUGUACUCUUCAUAAAUUUAAAUUUUAGUUUAUAUAUAUAUAUAUAUAUUUAAGAAUUUAGUCUUUUUAUUUUUUAGAUUUCAAAAUUCAAGUUCAAUUGUUAAAUUUAUUAAAUUUUUUUUGUUUAAUUUAAAAAUACUUAUUAAAAAUAUAGAAAUUUAUUUAAAUUUUAUUAAAAAUUAUAAGAAAUUACAAAAAGUAUUGUAAAUUAUUAAAAGUAUAUAAAAUUACAACAAUUUUUUAGUAUUUUAAAAUUAUUAAAAAUAUUUUUUGGACUUUUUAAAUUUUAAAACAUUUGCUCACGUGGCAUUUUAUCAUGUUAGCAAAAGGUACAUGUCCUACUUGCUUCAUUAGUCAGUCAUCACUUAAUGAUACAGAUGGAUGAAAUUUUAAAAGAAUGAUCAGUUUGCUCUUUAAUCUAACAAAUAAGAGUUAAUCUGUCCAUUUUUUAAUAGAGAGGAAAAAUAUAAUCUAACUCUUAGUAUAAGGAUCUCCAUGAUAGUUUUACCAUUUAUCCAACCACAUCAAUUACAACAAAACUAAAGGUGAGAAAAAUCCAAUUCGACUUGAAAAAACAACAAAAAAAAGUCAAAUUUUAAAUUAAGUAGUUCAAAUAAUUCGAUUUGCUCAAGUUAUCUGGAUCAACUCAAAUAAGAAAACUGAAUAAUUAAAUUUAGAUCAAAUAUAAAUUACAAAACUCGAAUUAUCCGAAAAAGAAAAACCAAAACAAUGUGGUUUUAGUAAAUUUAUGUUUUAACUUUCCCAAAGUUAAAACCCGUCGAUGCUUUGCCCGUACACUUCCUUCCCACAUUUUCACUUUUCCUUCAUUCAAAAUUUAACAAUACGUUUGGUUCAAUGGAAUUGAAUACGCUUGUAAUGGAAUAGUCAUUCUGUGGGAAUAGAAUAAGGUUGUAAUGGAAUUGAAAAGGCAUAACAGUGGUGUGGUUUGGUUGGAAUUGAAUGAGUAUUGUAAUAGUACUCAAGUGUUUGGUUGAGAGGAAUAGAUAUGUAAUAACAAAAAAAAAUACUCGGACGAUGAAUAUGCCCUUUAAUAUUUUAAUGUAUUUCUCACAUCAAUUUAAUAUUAAAGAAUAAUAUUUUCUAUCAAAACAAUAAUAAUUUAAUAUAAAAUAUCCCUAAACCCUAAAUAUUUUAUUUUAAAUUAUAUUAAAAGAUUUUUUAUUUUCUCCACUUUCUUCAUCUUUGUUGGUCCCCUUUCUCUCCCUAAAUUCAUUUUCAUCUUCAUCUCCAUCUUCCUCUCCAACUUUUUACUUUGAACUUCAUCAACUCUUUGUUCAAAAAGCAUCUCUAUUCAAAAACAUUUUAUUUGUUAUAUCAAAAUAAUUUAUCAAAUAAAGCUUAGUAGAACAAUAAACCAGAUCUACAAAGCUUAUGUAUCAAAAUUUCUCUUUUUUUUUGGUUUAUUUUGUUUACUAGUAUUGUUAAAGAGCUAUCAAAAUAAAAAUAUUGUUAAAGAAGUAGCACCAACUUAAUUCAACCAUCAUUUCAGCAUCUAAAUAAUGUAACAACCCAUGGUUGGCUUUCAAGAGUCCAAUUAUAGUAGAAAACUCAUUUACACACAUACAAAAAGUGACAAUAUUAGUAUGACAUACUUCCAUGUCAUUAUAUCACCCUGCAAUUACAUGCAAAAAGUGACAACCUACAAUUACAUACAAAAAAGUUAUAUUAGUUCACCACCACAUCCAUUUACACAUACACAAAGUGACAACCCUUUAUGGCAUACAAAAAGUUAUAUUCAUCCACCACCACAACCACAUCUUUAAUAGGUAGAAAUAAAUUUUCUCGUCCAUGCUAAUCGCUUAGAAGGUGGUAGAGUUAGGAAAAUGAGCAUUUGCGCUGGAUGAUCACAAAUUUUGAUCAAUGCAUCAAUUUGCUCAUCAUAUGUUAAACCUUCUAUUUCACCUAAAGCCACGUGGAAAGUUUGUACCUUUUCUUAACUGAUCAUUUCUGACUUCUCUUGAAUGAGCACUUCGGAGGCAAUGCUCCUACUUAAUUGAAGGUCAAUUGUUCUUAUAUUAUCCCCCAAUAACGUGGCAGCAUCGAUAAGUGAAGUAGCAUAAUUUGGUUCACUAGCCUCAGAACUCUUUUUCUUCUUCUUUGGAAAUGUAGAAUCAACUUUAUUUGGAUUAGACUGUUGCGAUUGUGUAGCCGAGACAUCCAUCUCAUCUAAGGAAGCAUCAACUUCGCAUUUAUUGUCAUUACUUCCUUCUUCAGGAUUCAUUUUAUUGGCAACAUCUUCAGUACAUAAUUCUUUAAAAAUAUCACCAGUUGUUUGAGCAUCUUUCUCUGUGGUUUGAUCUUUUGUGUAUAUGGAAGUAAGUUGCUCAUAAUAAGGGAAACUUAGAGUUUUGAAUUUUGUGGCUUCUUUAUAGCUUUAUAAAAAAAUAUUUCAUAACCAUUAUAUACUAUAUGUGUUAGAAGUUGUGUGACCUAAAUUCCUGUUAAAAAUAAAAUGCAAGUGGCAAUAUAGAGGGAUCUACGAAGGCGAAGGCCAAAGGCCGAAUAAGGUGUUUUAACCUUACUGCAUUAUUCUAUUUGAUUUUGAUUAGAAUAUGGUUUUACAAACUUAUAAAUAAACGUAGUAUAUACUCCUUUUGUAUCAUUCGAAUUUGAUAUAGUAACUUUUUUUCUCCCCUGUCCGUGAUUUUUCCCCGAAAGGGUUUUCAUGUAAAAUUUUGUGUGUUCUAUUUUCUCUCUUUCUUCACGUUUGAUUUUCAUUAUCGACGUCCUAUUUUCACAAAUUGGUAUCAUAGCUUUCUAGAUUACUUAUUUCGAUCACAGAAAUUAUGUCAUUGAAGUAUGAAAUUUCGUUGUUGGAUCACAACACUAAAUUCGCGUUGUGACAAAUAAAGAUGCAGGCAGUUCUUGUGCAAAUGGAUUUGGAGGAUGCCUUCCAAGGGAUAAAUAAGAUGCCUUCAACGUUAACGGAGGAAUAAAAGAAGCGUAAAGAUCGAAAGGCUUUGACACAAUUACAUCUGCACUUGUCGAACAAAAUUCUGCAGGAUGUGAUGAAGGAGAAGACGACCAGUACAUUAUGGACAAAACUGUAGCAACUAUGAAUGUCGAAAACCUUUACUAGUAAGUUACAUAUGAAGCAGCAUCUUUAUACUCAUCAUUUGGAGGAAGUUGCGUCUAUGCACAAACACUUAAUUGUGUUUAAAGAAGUUCUCUUGGACUAGAGGCUAUGGAGGUUCAGUAUAAUAAAUAAGAUCUAUGGUUGAUUCUACUUUGUUCGUUGUCCCGUCUUAUUCAACCUUUAGAGACAUGAUUUUUUAUAGCCGUGAAUCUCUCACAAUUGAUGAGGUCGAUACUUAUUUAACCUCGUAUAACAAGAUGAAACAUCUUGUGGUUAGAUCCGACUCUCAAGGAGAAGGUCUCACUGUUCAUGGGAGACAAGUAUGAAAUACUGAUGGUGAUUGUAGGAGGACAUAAUUUGAAAUCCUCGAAAUAAAUCUAAUGGUAGAUCGAGAUAUUCCACUGUCUAUACUCUUAUCACUAUAAAUCUAAGAGUAGAUCGCAAUAAAUCACAUCGUACCAGGAACAAUAUAUGCUAAUUUAAUAUUUCUACAAUAGUGUUUUAUACAAUCGAAUAAUGAGUCAUGCUAUGCAAUACUAAACUUGGUCUUCCACUGUCUAUACUCUUAUCACUAUUUAUCCCCUCUUGAAAACUAGAAUUUGGUAGAAUAACAAGACUAUUCCAAUUAUUAGCAUCAGAGUAUUGGACCAUACUCCGACUACUACCUUUGAUGAUAUUAGUAGAAUGACCUACUUCACUUAAUUUAAGUUUGCUAUAUCAUUCCAAAUCAAAGUUAAAAAAUACUCUUACAGUCUUGAAUAUGAGUCUAUGAGACCCUAAAAAUAAUCUAAAAAUAGAUAGGGGCUAAUUUGAAACCAUUCUAAAAGUUUAAGGCAAAUUUUAAAAAUACCUAAAAAUAGGGGUCACACGGCCGCGUGGCCAGGCCGUGUGAACACCCAAGACUGUGUGACUUUUGAAGUUGGGACACACGGCCGUGUAUCAGCCCAUGUCUUUGGCUGUGUGUCUCACUGACUUGUAUCACACGGUCGUGUCCCAGCCCAUGUCUUUUGCCGUGUGUCUCACUGACUUGUAUCACAUGGUCGUGUCGCAGGCCAUGUGUCAACCCAUUUGUGUGACAGACCGUGUUUCAGGCUAUGUGUACCUAAAUGUACCUUAAAACUCAAGUUUACCAAAUUGUGUUUACUUGGACACUAAACAACCAAUUCACCAGUCAUUUAACCUAUUCAAAACUCAAUUAAACAUGCUCAAAACAAGCUAAAACAACCAUCCUAAGUGCCUAACCAAUGUAGCCUCAUUGGUACCACAUUUUAUAUCUUCAAACAUAUUAACAAAGCAUCAUCCAUUCAAAACCUUCAUUCAUACCAAAUUUUCCAUAAUUAGACUAACAUUUAGCUACUUAGGUUACCAAAUCUCAAGUUAAACACAUACUAAACUUUAAGCUAAGCUAUCAUACCAAACAUAGCCUCAACCACAACCAUAUAUACAAUAACCAUCAUUUCACUUGAAAACCAAAAUAUUUUCACAUAUCAACAACAUUGACCAAAAGACCUCCUAGGUACAUGCCAUUACAAAAAUAAACAUCACUACAUUUGAGUACGAAAUCGUUAUUUAUUCUUCAAUUUAGUCCCUAAACCGAGACUAAUUUUAAUCUCCACAUUUAACUUUAUAUUUUAUACUAAUUUCACCCUAAGCUACAUUUAGCUCCCUAUUUUCAAUUCUGCCCUUUAAUUUUGAAUUAUUCAUAAUUUAGUCCCUAUUACUCAAAAUUAACAAUUAAUUCUACAGUUUAGUUUUUUUCCACUUCUAACUUAAAAAUCUAUCAAUUUAACCCCUAAUACUUAAACUAUUCAACAAUGACAACAUCUAAAAUAUUAAACAAUACUAAAAAUUAUAACACGGGUCUGGUAGUUCUAAGUACCAGAUUCCAAAAACGUAAAAAUUACAAGAAAAUAACUAAAUUGCACUAACCAAAUUUGGAUUUGAUCUCCAAACCCUCCUAAGAUGUGAGUUACUUCUUUCCUUCUCCCAUUUGAUUCGAAUGCAUAUAAAAAGAAUGAAAUUCUCUUUCAUUCCACUAUCAAUUAUGUUUUCUUUUAUUUUGUUUUAAAAUUUAUUAUUAUAAUUUACAUAUAUUUUGAAAGCAACUGAUACUAUUUAUUAAUAGAAGAAGCCUUAUCAACCGUUACAGUCUUAAUAAACAGAAAAUUUAAAGCUGUCAAAUAAUGACUGGCCACCAAAAACGGUGCCUUGAAAAUAUAAAACUGGAAUAAAAAUUUGUGCCUAAGUGCUUUUAUGUUAACCUAAAACGCCAAAAGUAAAAAUGAAAAGACAAAGCCAAUGUAAAAAAUGAAAAGACAAAGCCAAUGUAACCAUUCUUCUCCAUUCUUCUUCUUCUAUUGAAAAUAAACCCUUGUAUCAGCUAUGCAAGAGACCUAUUUUCUCCCAAAAUCAAACCUUCUAAUACCACAGUCUCUUUCAAAAUCUCGAGUUCUUCGGGCGAACAAACACCAUAAGGCUCGGACUCUACCUUUCUAUCUAACCGCCAUGAUUGUCAUUUCUCUUCUCUUAAUUUGUCAGGAUCUCCACCGUCUAUGACGCCUCCUCUAUCCAGAAUCAAAUAUGCUCGUAACGCUCUCCUUCCUUCGCCAUCGCAUGAGCCACUUUGUUGGCCCCCCUUGGUACAUGUUUGAAACUCAAACUUCUGAAGUUGUAACCUCUUCCCUUAAUUUUUUUAAUCAAGUUACUAAUACACGAUCUAUCUUCAUCCACAGAGUUCAGUUUACGUAUUAUGGUUAGCGCAUCCCCUUCUAUGCAUUUGUCUUGAAACCCUAUAUCUUCAGCCAUAAUAAUGGCUUGCAGACACGCCCUUGCCUCGGCCAUCACUGGAUCUGAAAUGUUUUCCCAUGGGUAGGUACAAGCUGCCAUUAUUAGACCUUCCUUGUUUCAUGUUAUGAUUCCUGACAUAGAACAUUUUGUUAUUUGAUUGAAUGAAGAGUCAAAAUUGAUUUUUAUGGUGUCAUUGUCUGGUGGUUCCCAAACUGAAUGUCUAGCAUCACAUGAGUUCUUUAAUCUCUCCUCCAUAAUAGUUGUUUCUGUAUAGUUGGCCUUAAUAAAUCCCACAACUUCAGUCACUUGCUCCUGAACACCAUCAUGAUAGAGUUUAUUAUGAUGAUACCAAAUUGCCCAAUAUGCGAUAGAUCUGAUUCUAUAUAAAACUGGAAUAAAAAAUUGUGCCUAAGUGCUUUUAUGUUAACCUGAAAUGCCAAAAGUAAAAAUGAAAAGACAAAGCCAAUGUAAAAAAUGAAAAGACAAAGCCAAUGUAACCCUUCUUCUCCCUUCUUCUUCUUCUAUUGAAAAUAAACCCUUGUAUCAGCUAUGCAAGAGACUUAUUUUCUCCCAAAAUCAAACCUUCUAAUACCACAAUCUCUUUCAAAAUCUCGAGUUUUUCGUGCGAAUAAACACCACAAGGCCCGAGUUCUACCUUUCUAUCUAACCGCCAUGAUUAUCAUUUCUCCUCUCUUAAUUUGUCAGGAUCUCCACCGUAUGCGGCGCCUCCUCUAUCCAGAAUCGAGGAUGCUCGUAACGCCCUCCUUCCUUCGCCAUCGCAUAAGCCACUUUGUUGGCUUCCCUUGGUACAUGCUUGAAACUCAAACUUCUGAAGUUGUAACAUCUCCCCUUAAUUUCUUUAAUCAAAUUACUAAUACACGAUCUAUCUUCAUCCGCAGAGUUCAGUUUAUGUAUUAUGGUUAGCGCAUCCCCUUCUAUGCAUAUGUCCUGGAACCCUAUAUCUUCAGCCAUAAUAAUAGCUUGCAGACAUGCCCUUGCCUCGGCCAUCACUGGAUCUGAAAUGUUUUCCCAUGAGUAGGUACAAGCUACCAUUAUUAGACCUUCAUUGUUUCAUGCUAUGAUUCCUGAUAUAGAACAUUUUGUUAUUUGAUUGAAUGAUGAGUCAAAAUUGAUUUUUAUGGUGUCAUUGUCUGGUGGUUCCCAAAAUGAAUGUCUAAAAUCAUAUGAGUACUUUAAUCUUUCCCCCAUAAUAGUUGUUUCUGCAUAGUAGGCUUUAAUAAAUCCCACAACUUCAGUCACUUGCUCCUGAACACCAUUAUGAUAGAGUUUAUUAUGAUGAUACCAAAUUGCCAAAUAUGCGAUAGAUCUGAUUCUAUAUGCUUCAAUGCUCUGGUUUUCAAAUUCUGUUACUAACUAAUUUUUCCAACUGGACUCUCUGUUACAUGUUGGAACUGCCACUCCCAAACCCCGCAAAACCUGUUGAGUGAAGAUGCAGACUCUAAAGAGAUGGCCCACCGAUUCCUCUUUAGUUUGGCACAUCAGGCAUAAAGUGUUGACAACCAAAUUACAGACUUUUAGAUUAUGUAAAGUAGGUAGAUAGUCAUUAGCAAUUCUCCAUAUUAGAAUGCGUAUUUUACUUGGAAUCUUGAGCUCCCAAAGUCCUGUAAAGAAAGUAGUAGGGAUUUCGUUAUUUAUUCUUGUACCCUCACUGUAAUAAGCCAUUUGUAGCUACUUUUUACUGUGUAUAUCCCAGUAUUGUCACCUCGCGACACUGGUACAUCCUAUAGACUACUACUGCUCACUAAAGAGAUUAAGAUUAUGUUCUUCAAUUGCUCCACUCCAAACAACGUACGAAUAAUUUCUUGCUUCCAGGUAUUAGUUUCCUUGUUAAUUAAAUCAGAAACUUUAGAAUACCUGAUAUCUAUAUUUUAACAUUUUAUUCUACCAUUGCCAAGUCCAGGGAGCCACAUAUCAUUCCAAAUAUUGACUGAUUCCCCAUUACCAAUUCGCCAUCCCAUCCCUUCCUCGAGAAGAUAUCUGGCUCUCUAAAUACUGCGCCAGGUAUAUAAAGGGUAAGCACCUAACCCUGCACUCAUAAAAUCCCUUUUUGGAAAAUACUUAGCUUUCGUUACACGUGCAAACAAACAAUCGGGUUGCAUAAUAAGUUUUCACCCCUGCUUCGCUAACAGGGCCAAAUUGAACUUUGAUAGAUCUUUAAAACCUAACCCUCCCUUCGCUUUGGGGAUGCACAGUUCUUUCUAUUUAUACCAGUGAAUACCUUUAUUUGUUUUUGAAUUCCGCCAUCAAAAUUUGCUUAUUAAAUUCUCGAGUUCUUGAUAGAAUGAAAUUGGCAACUUAAAACAUUGCAUUACGUAGACCGAAAUUACUUGUAAAAUGGAUUUUAAAAAUACCUCCUUACCUCCAGCCGAUAAUAAUCUCACAUUCUAACUACUCAAUAGCUUCACACAUCGCUCUUUAAUAGCCACAAAAGCGUGCUUUUUUCGACAACCCACCAUAGUUGGCAGCCCCUCAAAUAUUUCUUCAGAUUAUUAGAAAUUCUUACUCUCAAAAUUCUUCCCACCUGAGCUUAUGUAACCAAAUCAACAUUAUCGUUGAAAUAGAUAAGAGACUUAUCAAAAUUUACCAAUUCCCUGAAACCUUUUCAUACUCUUGGAUCACACGUUUCAUACUAUUUGCCCCUUCAUCUGAAGCCUUUCCAAAUAGUAUAUUGUCAUCUGCAAAAAAUAGAUGUGACACCGAGACGUUUCCUCUUCCCACAUUUGUCCCAGAAAGCCUACAUUCCCUUUUUGCAAGCGCAAUUAGCCUUAAGAGUCCUUCCGCGUAAAUGAGAAACAAAUACAGACUUAUAGAUCACUUUGUCUUAGCCCUCGUUGAGGCCUGAAUUCUUCUCCAUUCUUCCCAUUGAUCACACUGUAUAUACUAUGCUAGUAAUACGUCUCAUAAUAUGUAAAAUCCAGUCCUCACAAAAGCCCAUACUACAUAUCAUUUUUUCUAAAAUACUCCAUUCAAUCCUGUCAUAUGCUUUACUCAUAUCUAGUUUUAAAGCGAAACUUUUUUUCGAUGUUCCACUUCUUUUUUUUGAAAGAAUGUAAGAUUUCAUAUGCCACAAAGAUGUUGUUUGUGAUUUGCCUUUCCGAAACAAAUGCCCCUUGUGUAUCCUCAAUACAUAAAUCAAGUACGUGUCAAAAAUGAUGAACAAAGACUUCUGAAAAAAUUUUGUAAAUUACAUUGCAAAGAUUAAUGGGACGAAACUUGUUCAUUAACUUUGGCGAUUUCUCUUUAGGAAUAAGGACGAUACUCGUAUUGUUUAUCUCCUCUACAUUUCUUCGACCAUUAAGAAUAUCCAAGCAAUAUUUAGUAACUCCUUCUCUAACAAUAUGCCAGUAUUUUUUAUAGAAGAUUACUUAAAAUUCGUUCUGCCUUAAUGCCUUGAGGGGUUCUAUGGAUUUUAUCGCCCUAACAACUUCUUCUUCUUUAAAGUCCUCCAUUAAAAUAUCGUUGUAUUCAUCCGUGAUGCAAGGUAAAAAAGACUCAAACAAACUAUCACAAUUACUUACUUGUUUAGAUGAGAAUAAGUUUUUGAAGAAAUUUGUAGCCAAAUUAGAGAUUUCAUCCUCAUCAGUAAUCAAGUUCCUAGCUUCAUUUUCUAGCCCAUUAAUCAUGUUUUUCCUUCUGCGGUGUGUCACUCUUGUGAAAAAAUGUCGUAUUCCUGUCUCUCAUACAAAGCUAGUUCACUCUUGCCCUUUGUUCCCAGAAAAGCUCUUCUUUAUCUGCUUCGAGAUUCAAUUCUAAUUUAAUCUUUGUAAUUUCCUCUAAAACUGUAUCUCUGAUUUCGCUAGCACCUAGUUCUAAUAAUCUACCAUUUAAUACUUUUGUUCGUCAAUAUUUUCUCGUUUUGUCCUUUUUUGCCCAAAUACUCAAAUUUGACCCCACUUUCUUCAACUUCUCUAGCAUAUCCAGGCUAUUAGAAUUCCAUUCUCGUUUUAACUGCUCCUCAAGUUCAUUGUUCAGAAUCCAAUUUGCAUUAAAACAAAAAUGCCAUUAUUUUACCCUUCCUUGCAUCCCUCCAUCCCCAAGUGUAUCCAGAAUAACCGGACAAUGAUCUGAAAAGUUGUGUUGUAAAUGGUUUACCUUAUACCUUGGAAAAAUAUCCCACCACUCUGUAUUUGCUAUAUCUCUAUCCAACAUUUCCCUAAUAUUGUUGUCAACUAGACGAACCCUCUUCCAAGUAUACCACUGGCUAGAGAACCCAAAUCAUAUAACUCGCAAUAUUCAAGUGCCUCCCUAAAUGCGGCCAUUUGUCUUUCCUCUCGAAUUCUCCCUCAUUUUUUCUCGAAAGAGAAGAGAAUUUCAUUAAAAUCUCCGAUAAUCAGCCAUGGCUUGCUAUUCUCGCGUUUUAGUAAUUUUAAUAGUUCACAAUACUCUUUUCUUUCAUUCUCCACUAGUACUCCGUAAAAUCCUCUAAAUCUCCAUGUAACCAUCUCAUAUUCAUUCUCCACUUCUACAUCAAUAUGAGAUUUCAAAAAACUUUUCAAAGUUAAAUUUAAUCCCUCCUUCCACCCUAAUGAUAACCCUCCUCUCAUGCCUGCUACUGCCACAUUGAUACCAUUCAUAAAACCACAUUGCCUUUUUAUUGAUUCCAUUCAUUUACCUGUGACCUUUGUUUCCAUAAGAAACAAAAUUUGGGGCCGUAUAUGUCUCAAUUUGUUUUUGAGACGUCGAACUGUUCCUGGUUGCCCCAAACCACGAACGUUCCAACUUAAAAUUUUCAUUACGCCCGGUCAGCAACCUUUUGAGUGGCCGCCGAUAUUUGUUCUCUAUGUCUCCCUCUAAUAACACUUAAGAUCACCCACAGGUUCUCUUUCUGAAUUAAACCUCUACCUCUUUUUUCCAUCCACAAAUUCCACUGGUAUGUCUUCUAACUCCUCUUCAAUCUCUCUUCUCUCCAAAUGCCUCAGACAAACACAAUCCCUUGUGUUUAUAUUCCGAAUCUUUCGUGUAAAAUGACCUAAGGAAUCUAUUUCCCCACGGAUCUCGUUUCUAUUUGUAACUACCACAUCGAAUCUUCUUACCCUUAUUUCCCCAUCUAUCUCCAUAUCAUUCCAUCUAUCCAUUUCUAGUUCCUCUCUUAGCCAUUUACUCACGACCUGGCCUCCCCCUCUUGGCGUGGCUCUCAGCGACAGAUCCCACCCAAACUCCACUUGCUGACUCCCUAGUGUUAAUUUGACUUCACAGUAACUCUCUCCAUGACCAAGUCGGCCACAAAUAAAGUAAAAAAGUGACAAUCUUUCAUAUUAAAAUAAGGCAUAUAUAAAUUUAUUCUAAUUAAUGUUGAUUCGUUUCUUCCUUUUAAGCGGUAGUCGAACAUCAAGUAGAACCCUAAUUCGCAUGAAUUUGCUACCUCCUCUUGUCACCAACGAUGUGUCAUACUCUAUAAAUUUGCCAACAAAGUCCCCAAUCUGGCGUGUUGUUCCCUCUAAUGUAACACCGAUUGGUAAAUUAUGAAUCUAGAUCCAAAAGACCUUGUGCCAUAGAGGAAUCGAAUUUGGUUCUUCGCCCCCUACUAAUCUAUGAACAAUAAUGAUAUGUCGGUUAAAAAACCACGGCAACCCAUCCAGAACUCGCUUUAAAUCAAUCUCACUGUAAAAUCGAAAUAAGAUCCUUUUAUUUUCCAUUUCUGUGAUUGAUACCACUCUCAACAAAUGCCAUAAAUCGGCCGGAGCAUUUUUUAAGGAUGGGAAAUUUACAACGCUAUCCGUAAGGACUCUCCCUACCAAACAAAUGUCAUAUAACUGCUCAUCGGUAUUAUUAUUUUCUCCCAAAACCACCAUGGGAUCUUCCUCUUCAUCUAUGAAUUGAGAUUGGCUAAUUCAGUAUCCAUCAACUCAACAUUAGCCAUGGCGAACCUACAUCUCUUAGGAAUCAACUCCGCUUCAAGCGACAGCAGAACCCAAAAACCCUAAAAGAUUUAAUUUUUGUGCGAUAAGGCAGACAAGAAAAAACCCUAACUCGUGCUACAAGACAGACUUUUUAGCAUAAUAUAUAUUAUAUAUAUACAUAUCAUAAGUGUUUCAUUAUGACCGUCCAUUAAAAGGAAACAAGUGUAUAUUUACUUAUUUAGUCCCUUUAAUUAAUUUUAAUAUAUAAUUCAACUUUCAACACCUACGCGAUUUAAUCCCUAUACCUUAAUAGCUCUUAAUUCAUGAAAAUUACUUAUCCAAAAUUUAAUUUGCCUCUAAUAUGACUCCAUAAAUAUUUAAUAAAAAUAUUUACGGGUUCAAUUUGUAGAAACGGAGUUCCGAAAAUACAUUUCCAACACCCCUGACUAUGAGGUUGUUACAAAAAUAUUUUACUAAAAUUACAAUUUAGUCCUUAGACUUUGUUUUAAAAAUUAAAUGAGUUUUACUUAUCAGUUCUAGAAUUUUCUUUCAAUUAUUGUCCUUAUUAAAUUGUUUUAUAAUGUACAUAUGAUUUAAUUGUUGAAUUACGAAUGUUACUAAUGUUAUAUGUUAAAUAAGAAAUGAAUAUUAGGUUUGUUGGUUUCCGUGUAUCUAAGUCAUCUUAUUAGAGUUUACUAAAGGUGAAAUGAAUUGAAAUAUUAAUAUUGAGAUUUGAGUAGGGAUGUCAAUUGGGCGGGGCAGGUGUGGGGGGUACUACCCCUGCACCCAUCUUCGCCAAGAAUUUUCAUCCUCAUCCUCACUUCACAACUCGUUGCGAGUACAAAACCCAAAACCAUCCCUGCCCCACCACCCACGUAGGUCCCCAAACCCACCUAAUCCCAGCUAUACCCACCUUGUGACCCACUUCACAUAAUAUAUUUAUAAGUGUCAAUCAAAUAAAUAUAAACAGAUAGCAGUGAAGUGGGAGAUAAAUGGGAUAAUGAAGUAAGAGCUUCAAGUUUGCAAGUUGUGGCAUGGAGCAAUGGUGAGUAAUUUUAGGGUUUUCAUGUAAAAUAGAAAAAGUGAGAAACUAAAAGUGAGAUGUGUUAAAAUUGGGUGAGAAACUGUGGAGUGCUCACCUUUUUUUUUUUUUGCAACUCUAGUGGUUCAUCCACAGAUUAUCUGGAAGCUUUAAUCUACAAAUAUGUUGUGCAUUCACAACCAUCUUGCAGCAUAUUAACCUGCAACACUGGUGGUUCACCCACCCAUAUUCUGGCAGCUCUUAUCUACAAAUAUGUUGUACAUUCAUAACCAUCUAGCAACGUAUUAACCUGCAACUUUUGUGAUUUAUCCACAACCUAAUGUGGAGGAUGGGUGAAUUCUAGGGAACUCUUACUAGGAUGUGUAGCGGUGGGGUAGGAUCUUUUAUGUUAAACUGAAACUGUAUUACUUUUACAAAACAUAUGUAUACAAUUUUGAGAUUUCUAAGAUGAUACAUAUACAUAUACAUUAUUGAGUUGAUAUGAUAUAUCGAUAUUCUAAAAUUGCUAUUGUGGAUUAUUCUAUGUGAUGUGAUUUAUGUUAAUCGAUUGCACUGAUUUGUUUGUGAUGGAACUCACACUGAGCUUCAUAGCUCACUCCCCUUUUGUUUCCAUCUUUACAGAUAACUCACCGAGUUAGGACGCAAACACGACAUUCGGAGGGUCUCGUCUUAGUUUUAAUUUAUUAAAAUGUUUUAGAUUUAUUAUUCGAUAUUUUUACAUUUUAGAGACUGUACCGUUUUAUUUUGGAACUGUGACAUGGGACUUAAGAUUUGGGUCAUGCAUAACUUUUAAUUUGACCUUAGGAUAUUAAAAUAUGAAUUUUAAUUAUUUUUGCAUGAAAUAUAAUUUUUAUUUAAAUCAAUUUAAUUAUCACUUUUUCGCUGCUAAAUUAUAAUUAAAAUUUGGAGUAAUAAAUAAAUUGGUGAUUAACUAAGUUUUCAAAAGUAAGUCUCCAUUACCUAGGUUGGUAAAUUUAAAUCGGUUUUUGACAACCUGAAAGUUUUCCAAAAUUAGACCAAGUUUUCAUCUAAAAUAAAACAAAUGUUUUAAUAUGAUCGUUUAAUAAAAAAAACACGCUGAUAGCUUAUCGAGCCAUUUCGGUGGCUAAUGUAGUCUUCUGAAUUUGAGUCUAAUGUCUGGGUCGGAUUUGGAGGUUACAUACACUCCGCUUAUACAAGACAUUUACAAUUUUUCAAUAAUUUAUUUAAUUAAAUUAUUAUUAUUUUAUUGAUUUAAGUAAUUAUUUACUUUUUUUAUAUAAAUUAAUUUAUCUAGUUGACCUUAAGUUAGUAAUAAUAUUAUUAAUAUAUUAAAUGUAUAAAUCAAAUUGAGUAGAAUCAUUUUAAAUAAAUAAUUUAAAAUUAUUUUUAAUGGAUUAAUUUGAAUAUUAAAUGAAAUUCUAAAUAAACCUAAAAAGAAUUGUUUUAUUUAAAAAACGUAAACAAGUUAUAUAUAGAUUAAAAAUAUGACUCUUAAUAAUAUUAUAUUUUGGUGCUAAUUAAAACUAAAAUUAUUAUAAUUUAUAAAAAUAAUUAUUUUUAAAAUAAAAUAACUUAUUUUUCAAGUGAAUAAUGGACAAAUAUUAAAUCGGCCUACAAGUAAAUACAUGGAUUAAUUCCAUUAAACAUAACAUUUAUAAUUAAUAAAUGUUGGAUGUAGUGGUAAAGCACACUGUACUUUUGCAAUUAGGGCCUAUUUGAAUGUGCGGUAUGUUUAUCUGUAGUUAGUGUAAAAAUGGCGGUAGUGGUGAGAUUAAAUACUAUAACGAUAUUGUAGCGUGAGACAAAAAAAGAAGCUAAACAUACUGCAUUGAAGGCAAACGUCCAUUCAAAGGUACCCUUAGUGUUCUUCUUUUAAUUUCAAGAAUUUAACUCCACAAGGACCAAUUAAAAAUUAAAAUUCAAUUGGUAAUUCUUUUAUUUGACUUUAUUGGAUUUGAAUAUAUGACCUUUUAAUAUUCAAAAGUUUAAUUUAAAAAUUAAAGUUGAAAUUGAUAACUCUUAUUUAUAGAAGUCAAUUAAUAGUGUUACAAUUGUAUUUUAAUUUUUAAAUCAAACAAAAUAAAAAGAUUAAAUUCCAAAAAAUUAAAAAGUAAAAGGACUGAUGGAUAAUUAAACCUUUUCUUUUCUUCCCUUCUUUUCCAUCCACCUAAACAGAAAAAAGAAAAGUCAAUGUGUCGAAAAUUAGAAGCAAAACUUCUGCAGUAUCCUAUGUAUUUUUGUCUUUAUAUAUAAUAACAUAGAAGAAGAAAAAGGAACCAACUUGCUGGUAGCCUAUUUAUGUAUUUGAAAAAAACAACAGCCGUUAGAUCUGGCAAUGUAGAUAUGAAUAUAAUAAGAUUGAAUAAUUUUUUAAUGGUAAUAAUUAAAUAAAAGGGUAAACUGUAAAAAUAGUCAUUUUUAUUUGCUUCAGAUUACAAUUUUAAUUACUUAUUGAUCGUUUUAUUACAAAGUGGUCACUCUACUUUUAAGCUCCGUUACCUCCUUAACAACAGUCGUACGUGACAAUCCAAAUAGGUUUUAAAUGUCAACUUGGAUGCCCUACGUGACAGCCCGAAUUAAAUUUAUUUAAUUAAAAACCUAUUUUUAUACCAACAACUGGACAUACGAGUUGGCAUUUAAAACUUAUUUGGACUACCACAUAGGAUUAUUGUUAGGGAGGUAACGAAAUUAACGAUAAAGUGACCAUUUCGUAACAAAACGAUAAUAUACGUGACUAAAAUAUAAUCUAAGACAAACAAAGUGACUAUUUUUAUAGUUUACCCUAAUCCUUAAAAAAUUAAUUCUUUGACAAUUUUCAUAGACUAUUGAAAUUCAACCUUUCUAGAACAUUACAUCGGGUUCAAAACUUAACACGCAUUCAAUUAUUUGUUUGGUUUGGUCCACAAUGCACAUUUAUUUUUUCUGAUUAAAUAAAUAAUUUUGUUUGGUUCAUCAUGAAAAAGAUAUUUGUUUUUUGGGUUGUAGCUUGGAAAGAAAGACAUUCAUAUUUGGAUUACUUUGCUAUAAAUUCAAACUAUCUGACGCCAGAAUAUAUUAUCUGAUCCUUCUCAACCUCGUCUUUCUCACAGUUUUUCUUGAUUUUUGCCUUUCCCAGACUUAAAAGCUUCGGUUUUUAUUUUCACUUUGGAAAACGAAAAUGGAUAAGAUUAAGAGUAUGAUGCGCGCUGUUCAGUACAGUAAAUAUGGCGGAGGAGUCGCCGAUCUCAAGGUAAUAUACUUGCUUCUUUUGAUUAUGUUUAUUUCUUGAGUUUAAAAGUUUGAUUAAAAGUUUAAAAUGGAGGUUUAAUUAAAAUUUGUGAUUCAGUCCUUAAUCUUAUAGAGUUUUAUGGAUAUAAGGCUGGGUGAAGGAGGGGAGGGGGGGGCUGGGUUUAAAUUAGCUAAUUAAAUUAGGAUCGUUGAUUUAAUUUUGAGGUACCGACACCAUCCGUAAAAUCUUGAGAUGUGCUGAUUUUUCUACACGUGUCUACCUUGAUGGCUCAUCGUCACCUCCAUCGGUGCUGCUCUUCUCAUACUGCCGAUUAAGACUUCGGAUCUAUCCACUUCUUAAUUCUUGAAAUUUCUCAAGUUUUUUCUUUUAGGUUUUUUUCAUGCUUUCUUUAGGAUUUUUAUUACAAGUGAAAUUAAGAUGCCUAGAAUAGAUGUUGUCUAAGAAUCGAAUCAGCGAAAUGAAAUAUCGAAAAUUUUGGCUGUUUAUUAAAAGAUUAAGUUGGUUUUGAGGUUUGAGUCCAAAGCCGAAUUGAUUCUUUCACUAACAUGGGAAAACUUAAAUAAUUUUGAGAUCAAAUUGUAAUUUUAUUAAACUCAUGAAAAUUAGCACGGGAAUUCCAGAAAGAGUACGAGACUGAGAGAUUGACGGCAAAGUCAACUUCUUCUUUUUUUUGCAUAUAUGCAUUUCCAGCAUUUCUUUACUUUGAUGAACUUGAAAAAAAAAUUGCUAAUGACCUGAUUUUAUAACGAGUGUGAAUUUUGUGGGUGUUGCAGCAUGUUGAAGUUCCGGUUCCCAGUCCAAAAAAGGAUGAAGUUUUGAUCAAAGUAGAGACAGCUAGUAUUAACCCAAUCGACUGGAAACUACAGGAUGGGGUAGCUCGGCCAUUUUUACCUCGGAAAUUCCCCCACAUUCCUGGUACUUUACUUUUCUCUGGACGGUUCAACUCUAUGGGUUAAUCCGAAGCAUCAAAACUUUUCUUUCUGUGAUUGUUUGUUUAUCAAUCAUUUGCUAAACAACAUUUGGUCGAGCAGGUACCGAUGUAGCAGGAGAAGUCGUACAAGUUGGAUCAGAAGUCCAGAGUUUCAAAGUUGGGGAGAACGUUGUUGCCGUACUUGGUGUAAGUACUCAUUCUUAUUCUGAAGUUUGUUGCAUACUUGCAUGAGAGAAACAUAUGUAUGUUUGAUACAUUGGACAGUUUGUUGCUUCAAGCUAUACAACACUCAGGCCAUAGAUUCUUUUUCACCUUAUUAUUCAUUUCCUUGUUUUAUGUGCUAUCUAGCAUCAUUUAUGUCCUGGUUCUUGCCAAUAUCUUAUUAUUUGAUUAUAUUUUGCAAUUACAGAAUGGAGGUGCACUAGCUGAAUAUGCUGUGGCUAAUGAAGGUUCCACAGUUUCAAGGCCUCCAGAGGUAUCAGCCCGUGAAGCUGCAGCUUUGCCAAUUGCUGGCCUCGCAGCUCACCAGUCACUCACCCAGCUUGCUGGGAUCAAACUCGAUGGAACCGGCCCAGAAGUGAAUGUAUUGGUUACCGCUGCUUCAGGUGGUGUAGGUCAAUAUGCCGUUCAACUCCUAAAGCUCGCAAAUGCACACAUUACAGCCACUUGUGGGGCUCGUAACAUAGAUUUAGUCAGGAGCCUGGGGGCUGAUGAGGUUCUUGACUACAAAACUCCUGAUGGGGUGGCUCUCAAGAGCCCUUCUGGUCGAAAAUACGAUGUAAUCAUCCACUGCGCACACAACAUUCCUUGGUCUACCUUUGAGGCUAACUUGACUUCAAAAGGGAAGGUAGUAGAUACCACUCCUGGUUUCGGCACUUUGAUGAGUGUUGCUUUCAAAAAGAUAACAUUCGCAAAGAGGCAACUCAUACCCUUGUUUACCUCACCUAAGAAAGAGAACCUCGAAUUUCUUGUUAAGUUGGUGAAAGAAGGAAAGCUUAAGCCAGUAAUUGAUUCAGUACAUCCUCUAAGCAAGGCUGAAGAGGCUUGGGCGA
rnacentral:lncRNA from 1 species